GGGGGGAAACCACACACUCCACACUCUUGAACCUCAGGGUUAGAGAGACCCAGGUGUCACCUGUUUCCUAGACAUUUUGGGGCUGCCACUCUCUGCGUGAGACAACAGCCACCCUUUCCCUCGAUCACAUCCCCUACACUUCACUUCCUCUCUCCGUGUCCCCCUUCCUCAAUUCAGAAUGUCACCUGGUGAUAAGAUGACAUGCAUUUGAGCCUCAAUCCCCUUCCAGCAUCCCCUCUCCUCUGCCCCGCAAGCCACAAGCUGGCAGCUUUCCGAUUCCAGAGCAAGCUUGCCACACGAAUCCUGCGAGGAACAGCAGUUAUGUCUUAAUCUCCUCUCCUCCUGUCCCCACCGGAGGCUGAGCCACUCUGCCUGGGAAGGACGGAGGAAGGGCAACCUGCACAGGCUUUGCCCGAGAAGGGUUCUCAUCCUCCUUGCAAAUUCUAAGAGGACACCCACCCAUUGGAAGAAAGUACGAGACCCUCCCAGAAGGGGGCUACAGCGGUCAGCACUGCGCCCGCCAAACCUAAAGCUCAUCUCAAGAUCUUCCCGUGGCUCCGACCGACUCUGCAAAUGGAGCUUAAUGGGGUUUUCCCUCCCGCUCGCCCCCAUCCCGAACUCUCUCCACGCCCCGCUUCUUCCCCCACGCACACGGCGGCUGCACCGUCACAGAAAGCAGCCGCUGGAAUAAUCAGCGAAGCCACAGGUCUCCCCAUCUUGGCAAGUGGAGGUGUGCGCUGCCCUCAGACAUCUGUGAACCGCUGUUCAACGCCAACCCCGAAGGCAGAAGGGGAAACCAAGUCACCUCCCAGAAAGACGUUUGAUGAGCAGAGAUAGAUUUGCCUCCAGACUGGUACCAGGUCUGGGGAAACCCAGGCAGAGCCCCAGGCUCUAUGCGACCCAAAGAAGAAAAAAAUGGGUGCACAGUGAUGGCUCCAGGUCUCCCCACCCAGAUGCUACCACGAAAUCCCUGGCAUCCACGAAGCUUCCCCCUGUUCCAUGGUGGAAAUUGGGGGAAAAUGGACUUGUGUCUCCAAGCAGGGUCCAUGGACACUGGACGAUGCCUGAAAUCCCCUGGGAGGCAGGGAAAAAAGGCGCACUGAACGCUCAACCGGGGUAUAAGGAGUGAUUUUUUUUUCUCUGCUGGCAGCAGGCAGGAACCUGGGGUUUGAAUGUCCCCUUCUCUGUCGCCACCUCACGCAGACUUCAGAGGCUCUCAAGGUUUCCUGGAGAGGGGGAAAUCGUCCCCGGAGCUGACCUGCCAACCAGUAGCACCCUCCAGCGCCUCAGCCGGGCCACGCCAAAAUGACCUGUCACCCAUCUCCCGCGGGGAGUGGGGAGCGGGCCAGUCCACCGCCUCUUGGGACGGCAUCUCUGGACGGCCACUGACAGUACCAGUCUCUGUCACCCCCUGGGGGGUUAGGGGCAAUGUCAUCGGCCAGGGUGGCAGAAAUAGAAAAGUGCGUGAGCUCACCAGGCAGCCUGGGUCUCCUGCGACGUUUUGUUUGCCUGAGCCCAAUUAGAACAACUCUCAGGAUGAUGGAGUAUGGCGGGCGGUGGCCCCCAGGGGGCUGGGAGGCCUAGCCCCCAUGCAGAAGUGCACCGUCAUGAUGAGGGUGUCCCCCGGGCCUGGGGAACAGGGCAGGACCCUGCUUCCCGGAGGGAAAUAAUGAAGACUCCGCCAGCCUGCCAGCCAGAAAGAGAUGCCCCACGGAAGGCUUUGUGGAGGGCAGCGGGGGGGUAGGGGAGGGAUGCCCAGGUGGGGACUCAGUCAGGCCCAAGCUGGGGGGCUGUGGGAUUUGAGGGCGGGAA
rnacentral:lncRNA from 1 species